UCUCGUUCAUCCCCCCUAAAUCCUUGACACACGAAUUGGUCUGCAAAUUUCUGGAGAUCUUCUAUUAUUAUUACGCUCACUAUUUGUAGAAAAUCCUACGAAAUUUCAGUCCUAAAACCUACAGAAAAACCAAAAACAUAGAGAAGAAUUCAAGUUUUCCCAUCUUCCUCCUUCUGUUACACAUCUUUGCUAUACAAACUUGAUUCGCUGCUUGAUUUUCUUGUUCCACUACUGAGAGCUGCUGCUGCUCCUUCUUCCUCGACUGAACUCCCUCACCACCGGUAAUGGCCGGAAACUGGCGGCGGAAUUUCGUUUCGUCAAUGGAGUUCACUUCAAGCUCGUGGAGAGCUCAUUUGAAUUUGUAGUUUCAAGUCUGUCGUUCCAUUUACUGUAACAUUCCUGUUGAGAUCGAGUCUCGUUAAAGCCCGUUCGUAGGUCGCUAAAUCUGUUCGUUGAGUCUGUUCAGUUCCGUUCGAGAUUCCGGGGAGGUUCCGGCGCUGCUACGUUUUCUGUCCGAAUCGUGUUUGAUCGGCCGAGUUUCAAAACAGUAUUGUAAAGGUGCACUUUUCAAAUGGCGCUGCUACAUUUUCUGUCCGAGUCCGUGUUUGAUCGACCGAGUGUCGAAACAGUAUUGUAAAGGUGCACUUUUCAAAUUCUAUCUUGUUUCAUCUCAUUGUUUAGAUUGAGGAAGGAAUUAAAUUGGUUUGAUGUUAUGUUGGUUUGAUUGUAUUUGCAUGCGUUAGUUCCCUUAAUCUGUUAAGUGUCUUAAUAUUGCUCAUUAAAAAUGAUUAAAUGCAUGUGAUUUGCUGGUAGUUAUAUGUCAAAUAUACUUUACUUAUUAGUAUAUUUUUACUUUCGUUCUGUUGUCAUUAUAAGCUCAUAAAAAUCUGGUUAGUUUUCUUUAGUUAAUUUUUUGUUUCUUUUGAAAUAAUAUGAUUGCUCAUUGUUAAGUCUUGAUGCGUUUUAGCUUUCUUCUAUCAUGUUGGUUCUCACGUUUUAAUAGCAGUUGUCAUGAGAAAGUGUUCUCAUCUUUUUGGUAUCACUCCUGUUUACACAAUAUGAUCUCAUAUGAAUUUUUGUGUUCUUUAAUUAGGAUUCAAAGUUGAAAUGCAUUUGAAUGGAGCAAUGCAGACUGUCACUACUAAUAUGUAGUCGAUUUUGGCUAAUUUGAAACUGAAGGAAUAUUUGAUCGACCAAUUGAUCUACAUGUCAGCCUUAACAAAUGCAUUACUAGUAGUUGGGGUACAAAAGAAGUGAUUUGAGGUGUGCUGUGCCAAAUAAAAUUUCAAAAAAAUGCACGGCCUUCGCUUAAUUAAGUUUGAUUUAAUCCGUAGAACUCGGGAGAACCGUUUAGUGAAUUUCACGGUCUUCCCCAAAUAAAAUGGCGCUAGACUCUUUAGGCGCGAUUUAAUCAAAUUACUUUCUUAAACUCGGGUGCGCAUUGAUGCGACCCAAAUUCAAGUCUCGACGAAGUCGAAAUGUGUGUUCGACCACAGGUGCCUUGAUGGUGACGGAGUUAGAAAUGCGUUUUCAUGAUGUCGUAAUUCUUAUAAAACAAAUAACGAUCGUAAAAUGGUUCAAAAAUGGAGAUGAGUCUCACAGAACAAGAAUAAAUGUGGGGCCCUCAAUAAUUGGUUGUUAAAAAUGAUUAGAAUUUGGAAGGAUCGUUUAGCAAAUUUCAACGGCCUUUCCCAAAAUAAUAUUACGCUAAAACCUUUUAGUGCGAUUUAAUUAAAUUACUUUCUUAAACUGGGAUGCGCAUUGAUGCGACCCAAAUCCAAAUCUCGACGAAGUCGAAAUGUCUUGACGACCACGGGUGCCUUGAUGACGACGUGGUAAGAGACGCAUUUUCAGGACGUCGCAAGUCUUUUAAAAUAAAUAAUUGUUAAAGAGGUAUAUGAAUAAAAGGCACAUAAGCUAGCAUAUUAAAAUCAGAUAAAAUCAAUUGCAACAGUUAAGCGAUCUUGCUAGAUCCACGAAAUUCGGGGAUGCCUAAUAUCUUCUUCCGGGUUAACAGAAUUUCUUAUCCAGAUUUCUGGUUUACAGACUGCAACAGAGUCAUAUUUUUCCUCGGUUCGGGAUUCAACCGGUGACUUGGGACACCAUUAAUUUUCCAAGUGGCGACUUUGAAUAAUUAAUAAACUAAAUCCCGUUCCGAUUGUCGUUUAAGUGGAAAAACCCUUUACGCCCCUCGCAGGGUGUAGGUGAAAAAGAAGGAGUGACAGCGAAGUACAUGCGACAGGUAAAAGUCUAGAGUCUGACAUGCUCGCAAGAAGAUAGAUAUAGCAAAUUAGUCAAGUAGAGCAAAUAAGUUAUUAAUUUGCU
rnacentral:lncRNA from 1 species